rnacentral:rRNA from 1 species
UACGUAGGGUGCAGGCGUUGUCCGGAAUUAUUGGGCGUAAAGAGCUCGUAGGCGGUCCGUCACGUCGGCUGUGAAAACCUGGGGCUCAACCCCGGGCCUGCAGCCGAUACGGGCGGACUAGAAUUCGGUAGGGGAGACUGGAAUUCCUGGUGUAGCGGUGAAAUGCGCAGAUAUCAGGAGGAACACCGGUGGCGAAGGCGGGUCUCUGGGCCGAUAUUGACGCUGAGGAGCGAAAGCGUGGGGAGCGAACAGG